GCCGGGUGCAGUGGCGUGCACCUGUAGUCCUAGCUACUUGGGAGGCUGAGGCAGAAGGAUCACUUAAGCCUAGGAAUUUGAGUCCAGCCUGGGCAACAUAGUGAGACCCUAUCUCUU
ensembl:misc_RNA Metazoa_SRP Metazoan signal recognition particle RNA